rnacentral:rRNA from 1 species
GACGAACGCUGGCGGCGUGCUUAACACAUGCAAGUCGAGCGGUAAGGCCCUUUCGGGGGUACACGAGCGGCGAACGGGUGAGUAACACGUGGGUGACCUGCCCUCAGCUCUGGGAUAAGCCUGGGAAACCGGGUCUAAUACUGGAUAUGACUCCAUGACGCAUGUUGUGGGGUGGAAAGCCUUGUGCGGCUGAGGAUGGGCCCGCGGCCUAUCAGCUUGUUGGUGGGGUGANGGCCUACCAAGGCGACGACGGGUAGCCGGCCUGAGAGGGCGACCGGCCACACUGGGACUGAGACACGGCCCAGACUCCUACGGGAGGCAGCAGUGGGGAAUCUUGCGCAAUGGGACGAAAGCCUGACGCAGCGACGCCGCGUGAGGAUGACGG